UUUUUUUUAAAAAAAAAAAAAAAAA
rnacentral:misc_RNA from 1 species